rnacentral:misc_RNA from 1 species
UGAAAAAAAAAAAAAAAAAAAUGACACUAGAGGGAGUAAGAAAAAAUUACCAAGGCUUUAGGUACACAGGUGAGCAAUGGCCCAGAGACAUGUUGGCUAACAAAUACAGAGUGUUCCAAUCAGCAAGAGGAAUCUUAUUAUUUAUGGAAGCCCAAAAGCAGAAAAAUAGACAUCCAUUUUUCACUUUAAAUAAAAUAUGACAGAAUGCAAAGAAACCCUCAUAAAAAAUUAGCUGCUGACUGAUAACAUAUUAGUCACAUGUUGCUACCUAAAAAAUUUCAUUUAAGUGAUUCUUAGUUAGUCAUUCCAUAUUUUCCCCCUUACUACAGGCACCAUAAGAUGUUCAUUGGCCAAAUUCAAAAUGUAUCAACCUUUCCUGAUCAUCAAGGAGCAGGGCAUCAAAGCUAAAUAAGAAAAUACAUAGAUCCUAAAAGUGACACUAUUAUUUGGUUGAGUUACAUAUUUCUACAACAACUACUCAGAUCCUCAGAAAAAUGGCAUGAAUUGGGCUGUUGGGCAGAUUACUUGAUACAUAUAAUACAAAUAAUAAAAUUGCAUAUGGCAGAAGUACUUACCUAGGUGAGCUACAGACUAUGAUAGUAAGAAGUUACAUAAAAAGGCCUGCAGAAAAGCAUAUUUGUGAAUAGCAGAUACUUACCUGGGUGUUCCCUUUCUCCCUUACCAAGACGUCCCCGUUGCUAUCGGACCUUAAUGGGAACUGCCUCCCCGGGAACAGUAUAUUGACCAUUUAAAAUCCUAAUAGCCCUGUCAGCUUCCUCUAUUGUUGCAUAUUUGACAAAGCAAUAUCCUGUUUAAUUGAAUUUGGAUAUAAAUUCAUUCGAUUAAAGUAGAUAAUAAGGUACAGCAUGCAUGCAGCAAUACCAAAAAUUGACAAUUGAUAGUUUUAAUGCUUUAAAGGAGUUUCCGACUUAAACCAUCUUAAAGAUGCAAGCAAACAAGUUACACAAAUAUUAUAAUUCCAGAUACCUUGUUGUUGGCCAGUCCACUUAUCUCUAGGGAAAAUUACCUCAACAACAUUUCCAUGUUCUUCAAACCUUGGGCGGAUCUAGAACAAAGAAGAAAUAGCCAAAGCUCAUACAGAAAGCAAUUGUUAAAAUGAGAAAAGAAACAACAUAUUAAAGUUAUAGAAGAAUUACCCCUUACUUUUAAAAAACUAUUGACACUAUACUCAUAAUAUAAAAAGAGAAGGUAGGGUCAAUCUACAACAUACCUGCAUAUUCUAAACGGCAUUGAAAUAUUGGGCUCAAAGGGGAAAAGAGUCUAAAAGAAGAGAAGAGGGGAGGGGUGGCUAGAGCAUGUCAAGAUUAGAGAACCUCUGCCUUAUUGGAGAGCGUACAUUCUUUCAGUGAGUAACAAUUUUUUAUGCAGUAAAGUUCAGAGUAUCACUUAAGCUUAUUACCAAGUCAGCUUCAAAGUUUCUGUACCAUUAAAGACAUCAAUCAGCAGUACUCCUUCCUGCUCAGAGUCCCCUCCAAUAUUAAGUGAAAUUAAAUUUCAGAAGUACUCGUUUCAGAUGUGUGUAUUUAUUCAUAUCAGAUGCAUGUAUGGAAAGUAUAUGUACAGGGUGAGCAGAAUUUAGUUCAAACCAGAAAAACAGACCAAACCGAUUAUUUUUUGUUUUUUGGUUCUGUUUUAAUGUAAAUUGGUUCAAUUUUAUUUUUUAAAAUUUUUUGUUAUUUCAGUUCAGUUGUUAAAGAGAAAAAUGGAAGAACGAACUGAUAUAACAACAAAUUGGCACAUCCAAAUAACAUUAAGACCACUUUCAGCUCAGUGGUUAACCUACUAUAACCUAGCUUGAAGGUGACAUGUUCAACUCCCACAUCCAGCAUUUUUAUUAUUUUCUUUUUUAAUGAACAAUCCUAACCAUUCAUUUAUUCUAAUCUCAACCAUCCAACAACACUAUAUACACAUCUCGAAUGACCCUAGCCUCCUCAGUCCUCCCUUCUCAAUUCUCUUUCACGUUUCAUGCUGCAGCAUGAGCGUCCAUUUCUCUGUCUUUAACUUUCCAUUUCUCUCUCUUUAAUCCUUAGUCAAUUAGUCUUUAACUUUUCCUUUCUCUUUAAUCCCUAGUCCUUCACUUUCUCUUUCUCGUUCAUUUCAAGCUGUUGUGAAAGAAUUUGUCAAAGGGAAAGGGCUUUUUUUAUCUAUAUACAAAAAUAGACAAUAUUCAUUUUAGGGCAACAUGCUGAUAUGAUCUCCAGUUGAACAUCGAUGCAGCCUCUAAUCAAGCAUCAAUGCAACCUCCCAUCUAAUUUCUGCCAUAAAUUCAGUUUUGAUUUUGCCUUUUGUUUUUCUGAUUUUUCGUUUUGUUGAUUGUAUAAUGCUGAAACUUGGAAUGAUAUUUUGUUGUGAUAAGUUUGUGAUAAAUGUAAUUUUUUAUCUAUUUUUGUGUGCUAAGCAAUGGAAUUGUAUUUGUUUCUUGACAUUUCUAUUUCUUUUGUUUUGUGGUGAUCCAAAGUCAUCUAGAAUUUUGCGUUUUGUGCUAAUGUGUUUCUGUCAAUAUGGGGAUUUGGCCAUUUGGGGAAGCAGUGGACACUGGAAUGUGGCAACACAGAUAGGGGAGACUGAAUUACCGAAUCCAACAGAACUGAAAUGUUCAGUUUGGUUCGAUUCAGUUUUUAUUAAUAUCAGUUCCAUUUGGUUUUUGUAACAUUAAUAAUUCAGUUUUCAGUUUUUUUGGUUCAAAACUGAAUAGGCCGAAUGUCCACCCCUAGGUAUAUGAAUGCUCACAGGAACACCAAUACAUGGAUAAAAUCAGUAUAUAACAAUCCUAGUUUUUCAUUUUUCCUGAUUCUGCAAACAAAUAACAAACACAUGCUGAUGCUAGAAUGGAACGACUCAC